UAAAUGUGUAAAAACGUAUUAACGCUUAUGCGAUCGGUUUACCAAGUAGAGACACCUUGAAAUGGGAAACUAUAAAAAAAGCUAACUUUUAACAACAACCCAAGUUCAACACAGUGCAGUACAGCAAUCUAUAGAUUCUUGGAGCAAGUGAUAUGGAAUAAAGUGCAGUGCAAAACAAGUUGUGGUCAAUGUGAUUGAAAGGAACAACCAUUCCCACCGUAGAAGACGAAAAUACAAGACGAGCCCACUCUGGGUUGGCAGGCAAAAAUAGACAAGUGUCCCAACCCCGACAAGACAUCGAGCGACGACUAAUCGACGACGUCAUCGUAGAACUUCACAUCAAACAUCGAGUAUGUACCAAAUACCGAUUAAACACCCAGCACCGGUAUAGAUUCAGCAUAGCAUCAUCAUCAGUAGCAACAAAAUGCACGCAGCAUAUCCUAUUAAGGAUAUUUACGUCGUAAAUAAGGUCUAACGAUCACAGGCGAGACAGAAAUACAAAUGCGGAAAAGCGAUAUGCACACGUUUGGAAAAUGAAGAAUGAGAAGUAGAGAACGAUUCAAACUAACAAGUUCAUGGUUAACCGGAUACAUCUAACAUCAUUUAUCAUCUAUGCACCUGCACAUACCGACCAGACGAAUCCAGCUUACACUGCGGAGCAUCGGAUGACACCGUACUGCGGCCCGCAGACAACACGGCGUAGGGAACGAGACACCAGUGCAUGCGUGGUACCAACGUGACCGAGCUUCCAUCAGAACCAGAAAGAUCUUACGAUCGCACUUGCAUUUUGACAUCUAAAUAGCUUAGCAAAUAGACAGAAAUUGGCACUAGCUUAGCAAAUAGACAUAAAAAGGCAUUAGGUAGACACAAAACAGUCAGUACAUGUAAUGUAAUGUAAGUUUUAAGCAAUAUCAUUAGAUGGAGAAGUCUAUUUUCAUUUAGGUCCUUUAACGCACACAUUUCAAGAGGAGCUAGCUAGUAAGAGAGUGCAAUAGAAAUAGACAGAGAGUAGCUUUAUUUCAAUAUUAAAUUUUUUGUUUAUAUAACUUUUAGUUAUCAGUUGGCUAGCAAAUGCUAAGAUACUUCAUACGUAUCUUUAACUCCUAUCCCAACCUCGUCGUGAUACUAGCAAGAAUGUAAUUGAAGCAUGCAGAUGCAUUGCUUCACAAUUAUGAACUAAUACGA